rnacentral:rRNA from 1 species
UACGGAGGGGACUAGCGUUGUUCGGAAUUACUGGGCGUAAAGGGCUCGUAGGCGGCCAACUAAGUCAGACGUGAAAUCCCUCGGCUUAACCGGGGAACUGCGUCUGAUACUGGAUGGCUAGAGGUUGGGAGAGGGAUGCGGAAUUCCAGGUGUAGCGGUGAAAUGCGUAGAUAUCUGGAGGAACACCGGUGGCGAAGGCGGCAUCCUGGACCAAUUCUGACGCUGAGGAGCGAAAGCCAGGGGAGCAAACGGG